CACUCGAUAGCAUAUGGUGUGCACCUGCUUCACUUGGUUGGGAAUUGUCAUGGUUAUGCAGGAGGCUCUCGGUUCGAUUCUGGGUCGAGUGA